rnacentral:rRNA from 1 species
GCCAGCAGCCAUGUCACCCUGCAACCCACAGCUGGCAGCCCACUGAAGCUAAGCAGGUGUGAGCCUGGUCAGUACCUGGAUGGGAGACCUCCUGGGAAAAACUAAGGGGCCAGCAGGGG